rnacentral:rRNA from 1 species
GACGUAGGGGGCCAGCGUUGUUCGGAAUUACUGGGUGUAAAGGGUUCGUAGGCGGUGUGGCAAGUUGGGAGUGAAAUCUCUGGGCUCAACCCAGAGGCUGCUUCCAAAACUGCUGUGCUUGAGUGCGGGAGAGGCGCGUGGAAUUGCAGGUGUAGCGGUGAAAUGCGUAGAUAUCUGCAGGAACACCCGUGGCGAAAGCGGCGCGCUGGACCACAACUGACGCUGAGGAACGAAAGCUAGGGGAGCAAACAGG